CAAACACACAGAUUAUAACACUGUUAGUUCAUUGAGAGGUCAAACACACAGAUUAUAACACUGUUAGAGAGGUCAAACACACAGAUUAAAACACUGUUAGAGAGGUCAAACACACAGAUUAUAACACUGUUAGUUCAUUGAGAGGUCAAACACACAGAUUAAAACACUGAUAGAGAGCUCAAACACACAGAUUAUAACACUGUUAGAGAGGUCAAACACAGAG